GAUGAACGCUGGCGGCGUGCCUAAUACAUGCAAGUCGAGCGAACGGACGAGAAGCUUGCUUCUCUGAUGUUAGCGGCGGACGGGUGAGUAACACGUGUAUAACCUACCUAUCAGACUGGGAUAACUUCGGGACACCGGCGCUAAUACCGGAUAAUAUUUUGAACCGCAUUGUUCAAAAGUGAAAGACGGUCUUGCUGUCACUUCUAGCUGGAUCCGCGCUGCAUUAGCUAGUUGGUAAGGUAACGGCUUACCAAGGCAACGAUGCAUAGCCGACCGGAGAGGGGGGUAGGCCACAUGGGAAGUGAGACAGGGUCAAGACGCCUACGGGAGGCAGCAGUAGGGAAUCGUCCGCAAUGGGCGAAAGCCUGACGGAGCAACGCCGCGUGAGUGAUGAAGGCGUUCGGAUCGUAAAACUCUGUUAUUAGGGAAGAACAUAUGUGGAAGUAACUGUGCACAUCUUGACGGUACCUAAUCAGAAAGCCACGGCUAACUACGUG
rnacentral:rRNA from 1 species